AAAACAUCUUCUAUUGUUUUAAUUUUAGAUAUGGCCUGCCCUAUGAAUUAUUUAAUGGCCGCGGUAAUUUGACCGUGCAAAGGUAGCAUAAUCAUUAGUUUAAUAAUUAUAAACUUGUAUGAAUGGUUUGACGAGGUGAUGACUGUCUCUAUUUAAAUAUUAAAAUUUAAAUUUUUAGUUAGAAUGCUUAAAUUUGUUUAUUGGACGAUAAGACCCUGUAGAUCUUAAUUAAUUUAAUUAUAAUAUUAUUAGGAUUAUUUAUUUAUUAAAUUUAAUUUAAUUUUGUUGGGGUGACAUGGUGAAAAGUAAAUCUCAUUAUUUUAAUAUACAUUUAUUUAUGAAUCAAUGACCUUAUUUUAUUGUUAUAAGAUGAAGAUACCUUAGGGAUAACAGCGUAAUUUUUUUUGAGAGUUCUUAUUGACAAGAAAGUUUGCGACCUCGAUGUUGGAUUAAGAUUAUGAUUUGGUGUAGAUGCUAAAUUUUUUGGUCUGUUCGACCUAUAAAUUCUUACA
rnacentral:rRNA from 1 species